ensembl:lncRNA
CUUCCACUGCUGGUGGUCUUGUGCCAGCAGCUCUGCAUCCUCUACAGCAACUCCAUGUUGUUUGAGGACGCCCGCAACAACGACGGAUGCCCAAAGGAGUUUCACCAGAACAUCAGCUACUGUCGCUGUGCUAUUGAGUGGCGUUGUUCUCCUCUAGAAAGUGGAUCCUGAAUGUGUCAUCUACAAGAUUUUAUGCUGCAUUUCUUGUUCAGAAUUUCAGGUCUUGUCCAAUAUUUCAGGUCUUGUACAAAAUUUAAGGUAAGUGCUGUCUUGUGUUGUUGUUACAUCAUAUCACCAGCAAGCCUUGGAAGAGGGUCCCUCUUUCCAAGUUCUUCCCAAGGGUUUCUCCAAUAUUUCCUCAAGAGAGGACAUUUGGAGUUUUCCCUUGUUGACAAGAGCUUGCUGGAUUGAUGAAAUGAUUGUUUUUUUUCAGAUUUUAUGCUGCAUUUCUUGUUCAAAAUUUCAGGUAAGUGCUAUCUUGUGUUGUUGUUCCAUCAUGUCACCAGCAAGCCUUGAUAGACGGUCCCUCUUUCCAAGUUCUUUCCAACGGUUUCUCCAAUAUUUCCUCAAGAGAGGACAUUUGGAGUUUUUCCUUGUUUACAAGAACUUGCUAGAUUGAUGGCAUAACUUUGUUUAAUGUAAUCUAUUCUACAGGUCUUUUUCAAUAUUUCAGGUAAGUUGUAUUUUGUGUUGUUGUUACAUCAUGUCAUCAGCAAGCCUUGGAAGAGGGUCUGUCUUUCCAAGUUCUUCCCAAGGGUUUCUCCAAUGUUUCCUCAAGAGAGGACAUUUGGAGUUUUUCCUUGUUGACAAGAGCUUGCUAUAUUGAUUGCAUAACUUUGUUU